CUUUGAUCUAAUUAGUUAUAUAUAGAUUAAAGCUGUGAACAUGUAGCUUUCAGAAUACUUGAGGGGCUAAUAAAUACCCCACUUCCUCCUCUCCUGUUCCAUUCUGAAUAUUUCUGCUCCUGCUGAUGUUAAGUCAGAAUCUUCCCCCGAAGUGCCUUUUCAGGUGGACUGACAAUAAACGCUGAAUCAAGAAGACUUCAGGGGAGAAUAAAGACAGGAGCUACUGCUCAACAGGUUGUCAAGCUACAGUCAGAAUUCGAGCUGUACUGGUAUCACUGCACCACGCAGCCCUUGUGCUCUUAACACUGAGGUUGGAACUCCCCUCUGAACGCUUCUGCUUCAGUUUUCCAGCUCUAUUUUCUUCAAGUGCAGUUAGUUGCUUUAUAGCUUGAAGAAAUAUAUUGGUUUAUUUACCUGUUAGAACUAUAAUAAUAUUGCCUUCGGAGUCCUCCUUGGUAAUAAAUCUGACUACUCUUUUCCCA
rnacentral:lncRNA from 1 species